GCUAAAGAGCAGCUUGUAAAAACAAACCAAUGAAAUGAAACAAAACAAAAAGCACCUCUUUUAUCUGCGAAACCAAGACUCACACACACACACACACACACACACACACACCACACAAUAUAGCUUAAUCUGAGGACAGAAGAAACACAACCAGAAUGAUUAUUUUCCCUACUAAAUCACAGUCUGUAACACAGCCACAUGCUGCCUAUGGUUUCUCAUUAAGUGUUUUGAUAUUAUCUAUUACGUUCUCUCUUGCUAUUUUAUAAUAAAAAAAAAAAUUCCUUCCUUAUGUCUUGGGAGAAAAAUAGCAGUCUAGUUGAAAAUUUUCAUUUUUUCAAAUAUGAAGUCAUCCAGCUACAGUUUUUGCUUGCUGCUGAUCGGAAGGAAUAGCCUUUUGGGCCAUGAACUUGGUUGACUCCUCUUCACCCAAUCGGCCUUUUUCAGAACCCGAACUAGACCAGACACACAUGGAGCCACCCCUUGUCUACUUGCCCAGCAGCAAUAGCUGCUGCACAAUUGAAUAGAAGAACACAGACACCAGUAUUAUUCUGCUUUCCUAGCAUAGCGAAUAUUGGAAAUAGACUGCUAUUGCCUAAUGUAUCCAGUGUGCUUUUCUUGUAUGAAAGCAUGUGGCGGCCAAAGCUGGAGCCCAGGCCCUCUGCAUGGAGACUGUCCUGUGGAAACUUGACUAAAGGUAGGUGAAUUCCUGACACGGAAGCUUGGUCUCUGUAGAGGCGUGUGAGUGACAGAGAUGUAGACCUUGCAGAUGGCAGAAAAGGUGGCCUUGGCAAAGUUGCCUACGGUGGCAGUGUGGCCUCUGGCUUAGGUGGCAGUGCAGCCUCCUUCACACCAGUCAUCCUCCACAGCUUAUUGGGUCAACGGGCCCAGAUAAUGCCCCACGUGCCUGUGGGGGGAGGAAUGAGGUGCAGCAGCAAUGGCCUGUCAUCUUGCCAGAGAUGGCAUGGGGGGGGGGGGGGGGAAUCUCCAUCUCCAGUAGCCUUGCCACCCAGCAUCUAUGGAGGGGAGGUAUCACGCCCCACACAUGGUGGUUACUAUCUCUUCGGAGCACUUAGCACCUAGACUUAUAUGGCCAUUAUAGUCCCUGAGGGCAACAAUGGCCUUGAACUUGUCCCAGUGGCCAGCUCAGGUCUGCUUUUGCAUGGGCCUAGUCUUUUAAGAUUUUGCCCCAUUUGCCACAUGUAUGUUUUUGGUUUUUUUUUUCUAUAUCAUUUGAGAAUAAGUUGGAUUCAUCAUAUCCCUUCACCCCUAGUGCAUAUUCCCAGGAACAGAGGAGUUCUCUUAAUAACCAUAGCACAGUUAUCACGUGCUUUAACCCUGAUAUAAUAUUCUUAAGUAAUCAACAGUUCAUGUUCCUGUUUUGACAAAUGUUGCAACAAUACCCUUUUGUUAUAAUGAAUUCAGUUAAAAUAAGACACAAGCAGAGACCAACCUUGAAAAGUCCCUGGGAAGACAAAACCAGGUUAGUCAUACAAAGUUUCAUUUGAACUAACUUGAAAAUCAGAUGCAAAACUUGAACUAUUUCUCAAGGUCGAUGUGAAAUAACCACUGACCAGUUCCCUAUCAUUUGAGAAAAUUCUAAUAUUAUAACUGUGAAGAAGGAACAAUCACUGUCUCCUCACUAUGUAAGCUGCUUCAUAACAACAUUUCCCUGAAUCUCAUUCCACGUUAUGAUGGGAGUGCUUCCGGUCAUUUUGAGGUGUGUGCAAUAAACUUAUAUUGAUUA